rnacentral:rRNA from 1 species
AGAGUUUGAUUAUGGCUCAGGAUGAACGCUGGCGGCGUGCUUAACACAUGCAAGUCGAACGGAGUUUUAAGCGGAAGUUUUCGGAUGGAAGUUUAGAACUUAGUGGCGGACGGGUGAGUAACGCGUGGGUAACCUGCCUCAUACAGGGGGAUAACAGUUAGAAAUGACUGCUAAGACCGCAUAAUAUAGCGAAACCGCAUGAUUUUGCUAUCAAAUAUUUAUAGGUAUGAGAUGGGCCCGCGUCUGAUUAGCUAGUUGGUGGGGUAAAGCCUACCAAGGCGACGAUCAGUAGCCGGCUUGAGAGAGUGACCGGCCACAUUGGGACUGAGACACGGCCCAAACUCCUACGGGAGGCAGCAGUGGGGAAUAUUGGACAAUGGGGGAAACCCUGAUCCAGCGAACCGCCGCGUGAGUGAAGAAGUAUUUCGGUAUGUAAAGCUCUAUCAGCAGGGAAGAUAAUGACAGUACCUGACUAAGAAGCCCCGGCUAACUACGUGCCAGCCGCUGC